ACUCCUACGGGAGGCAGCAGUGGGGAAUAUUGCGCAAUGGGGGCAACCCUGACGCAGCAACGCCGCGUGCAGGAAGAAGGUCUUCGGAUUGUAAACUGUUGUCGCAAGGGAAGAAGACAGGACGGUAC
rnacentral:rRNA from 1 species